rnacentral:rRNA from 1 species
CAGAGGUCUCAACCGUUGUUCGGAUUCAUUGGGCGUAAAGGGUGCGUAGGCGGUCGCGCAAGUCGGAUGUGAAAUCUCGGGGCUCAACCCCGAAACUGCAUUCGAUACUGCGUGGCUCGAGUACUGGAGAGGAGACUGGAAUUUACGGUGUAGCAGUGAAAUGCGUAGAUAUCGUAAGGAAGACCAGUGGCGAAGGCGAGUCUCUGGACAGUUACUGACGCUGAGGCACGAAGGCCAGGGGAGCAAACGGGAUUAGAUACCCCGGUAGUCCUGGCAGUAAACGGUGCACGUUUGGUGUAGGCGGAUUCGACCCCGCCUGUGCCGGAGCUAACGCGUUAAACGUGCCGCCUGGGAAGUACGGUCGCAAGAUUA